AAACCAUGUUGUGGGCAUGAGUUAACAAGAUCCAUGAACCGCUCUCAACAUUAGAAGAAUGUUUCAUCUUCCUUUUGCGCAUUGUUCAUGAUUGAUUUUUUAAGAGU